GCACUCCGCACCUUUCCUGCCCGCGGCUCGCGGUGUGCCUGCGGGGAUGGAUGCUGAGACAGCCGCUGUAAAGGCCCUGCUGCCGGUUUGUCGGGUUCCCCACCACUCACAAUUUUUGUUGUUGUUGUUGUUUUAAGGUGGCUUCUCAGGGUUGUAUGGGUGAACUUUUUUCUCUUUUUCUUUUUCUGGGUUGAACUAACCGGGAAGAUGACAUACCAUGCUUGUGCAAUUAUUGUUGGUUUUAUUCCUUAAUUUUAACAGUUCUUUGAUAAUGCUCUAGUAGCAUCAGUCACGUUUUAGAGUUAGUGAAAAGCUGUAAUCCGGAGGCUUGGUUAGAAGGGACAGUUGCUUGCUUAAGUAAGAUCUCCUAAGGAUAACAUUCUCUGAUCUCCAAAGAUGUCAGCUGUUGCAGUGCUAGAGGAUGUACUGGUUUCCAUUGAAAAUGAGCUGCAGGCAGUGGAGAUGCAGAUUCAGGAGCUUGUGGAUAAACAGCAGGAACUCCUUCAAAAGAAGAUGAGGGUAAAAAGUCUGAUAAAGCAGUCCUCAGGAGACUCAGAGGCAGGUGGAAGUAAAGACACUGAAACCUCAGCCGAGGCAUGGAACAAAAAAGAUUUUCCAUGGUAUGAGAAGAUAAAAAUUGCACUGCAGGACAAGUUUAAACUCCAGAAAUUUAGGUCCUUGCAACUUGAAACAGUAAAUGCUGCAAUGGCAGGAAAGGACAUAUUUCUUGUCAUGCCUACAGGUGGUGGAAAGAGCCUUUGCUAUCAGUUACCAGCUGUCUGUUCUGAUGGUUUCACACUUGUGAUAUGUCCUUUGAUAUCACUUAUGGAAGAUCAGCUCAUGGUUUUGGAACAGCUUGGUAUUUCUGCAACUUUAUUAAAUGCCUCAAGCAGUAAGGAACAUGUGAAGUGGGUCCAUAAUGAAAUGCUAGACAGAAAUUCGCAACUGAAGCUCAUUUAUGUGACCCCGGAGAAGAUUGCAAAAAGCAAAAUGUUCAUGUCAAAGCUAGAGAAAGCUUAUCAAGCAGGGCGUCUUGCUCGCAUUGCUGUAGAUGAGGUCCAUUGCUGUAGUCAAUGGGGCCAUGACUUCAGGCCUGACUAUAAGUCUCUUGGUAUCUUGAAAAGACAGUUUCCCAAUGCUCCCUUGAUUGGAUUGACAGCAACUGCUACAAAUCAUGUUUUAAAGGAUGCUCAGAAAAUUUUGCAUGUUCAGAAGUGCAUUACCUUUACUGCAUCUUUCAACCGGCCCAGUCUUUACUAUGAGGUUCGACACAAACCUUCAAAUAAUGAAGAUUUCAUUGAGGACAUAGUUAAGAUCAUUAAUGGAAGAUACAAAGGACUCUCAGGGAUUGUUUACUGUUUUUCUCAGAAGGAUUCUGAGCAAGUUACUGUGAGUUUGCAGAAACUGGGAAUCAAGGCAGGGACUUACCAUGCAAACAUGGAUCCUAAAUAUAAGACUAAGAUUCAUAAAGGAUGGGCAGCAAAUCAAAUCCAGGUUGUAGUGGCAACUGUUGCUUUUGGCAUGGGAAUUGAUAAACCUGAUGUGAGGUUUGUAAUUCAUCAUUCUAUGAGCAAAUCCAUGGAGAACUACUACCAAGAGAGUGGACGUGCAGGUAGAGAUGACCAAAAAGCUGACUGCAUUUUGUAUUACGGUUUUGGAGAUAUAUUCAGAAUCAGCUCUAUGGUAGUGAUGGAAAAUGUAGGGCAAGAGAAACUGUAUGAUAUGGUGUCUUACUGCCAAAAUAUGAACAAAUGUCGCCGGGUCCUCAUAGCCCAUCAUUUUGAUGAAGUAUGGGAUUCUGCAAACUGCAACAGAAUGUGUGAUAACUGCUGUAGAGAGAACUCAUGUGAGAAAGUGAAUAUAACAGGAUACUGCAGGGACCUAAUCAAGAUACUUGAGCAAGCCGAAAACAUGAGUGAGAAACUCACCCCACUGAAAUUAAUUGAUGCAUGGUCUGGGAAAGGUGUAUCAAAAUUCAGGGUGGCUGAAGUUACUUCACCAAAGCAUCCUCGAGAGGAACUGGAGAGAAUUAUUGCCCAUUUACUACUGCAGCAGUAUCUGAAGGAAGACUUCAGCUUCACGGCAUUUGCUACAAUAUCCUACCUGAAGAUAGGACCAAAAGCAGGUCUGCUGAAAAAUGAGGCACAUGUCAUAACUAUAGAAGGGAUAACAAACAAGAAAAGUGUUUGCAAGGACAAACCAUCUCAAUCUUCAAAUCCAAAAGGAAGCAGAGAAAAUGCUCAGACUACUUCAAAGACUGUCCAAGAUUCAGUGGUGAAGAAGUCACAGGAACACAGACGGCCUACCUGUGGUUCUAACUUAAAAGCAAAGAAGCUUAAGCUUCAGGCAGGUGGAGAUGACCAACCAGUUGUUCUUGACUGAGUUUCACAGGCUACUUUUAGGAUCUAAUUGUUUGCUUCUCCAUGGACAAUGCCAUGUGCAGGAAAAUUAAUUUUGAAGUUGAACACUGUCAGGACCUGAGGCUGAACAUGAGAAGACCUCAGUGUAGUAGGUACAAAGUGAUAGAUGAUAAAAAGAAUGCUUGAGCUAUUACCUUGAUGAGUUUGGAGAAACAUGAGCUGUUACUGAAAAUUGUCAUGUUUGGUAACCAAUAAGGCCUUUUGCUGCUACUGAUAACUCGGUGCUUUCAGUUCCCCUUCUAUUUGUCGAGAGCAAGAAUAGCUGGGUUGAGGGGAAAGGCCUGAAGAGCAGUUCUGCCCACACUUUCAGUUCCUGAGCAGCAACUGCUGGGCUUUGGUUUUGUUUACACUUAACCUUUAAGCAGUGCUUAAUCCCAUAAAUGCAGAUGUUGUGGUUAUGCUAUUUAUUAAAAAGAAUCUUUGAACCACAUGGAAGUUACAACUAAGAGCAAGUAGUCCUUUCCUUGCCCUUUAGGGUUCUGGAUUUCCCCUCUAAUUUCUUCUGAACUAGAUGAUGUAUAUUGAGCUCCUCUUGCUGUAAAAUGCUGCUGGAAUGGAUUCAGUAACCAGGAAAUUACCCUUGUUAACUCCUCUCAACCUAGAACCAUCUGACCUCCCUUCUUUCACAUGUACUUCAAGAAGUUGCUAGAACACUACUGCCAUCUUAAUAUUUAGAUUUGACCAAUCAUAUAAAAGGAAAAGCUUCCUAAUAAUGGAAGGCUCACUUUCAUAUAGGAAGUAGGCUUGAGGGAAGUGAUACUCUGUUCCAAACAGCCUAGCACUUACACAUUCAGACUCACAGAACAGCCCAGGUGUGAAGGGACGUUAAAAACUUUUGGUUCUUUUGCAGUGGAGGGCUUUAUGUAAGCUUUUUUUCCAUUCCUACUUUUCCCAGUUGAGGACUACUUAUGGUUAUAUAAUCAAUAUCCUCUGAAAUUGGCUACUUAAAGUGCAUUAACACUGUUUAUUUGGUCAGUCCUACCUUCUGCAUUGUGUAAUUAAGUGGCAUGAAGUCUUUUUCUCUCCAUGCCAAACAGAAGCUGUAACCUAGGACAGCACACCCUGCGAGCUGAACUGCAGCUAUUCUACACUGAAGGUCACAGUCAUUCCUCAGCAGUCUGUAUGGACUGUGGAAAACCUUCAGCUACAUAAUAAUUUGUCUCCCAUUUCAGUAGGGAGAAUAUUUAACUUUAUAUGAAUAGAUAUAUAUACCUGUUGACUUCCUUUAAACAUCAGUGUUUCCAGAAGAAAACAGUGGUAAAGACCCAACAGCUACUGCUGACUUUAAGCACUGCUUAGGCAUACAUGAGGCUGAAUGCUACAUUUUGAUUUUUUUUUUUUUUCAAUCUUAGCAGCCACUGAUCAGUAAGGCAAGUUCAAACUCAUUAUAAAUGGUUCUGGUAGGUUUCAUUUUGGAUUCCCCCACAGACAUUUAGCUGUAUACCAACUUAAAUAUAAACCAAACAUGAUUAAGAACAUGCUCUUCAUCUUUAUUUUUCUGGUAGAAUCUUGUCAGUGAUUAACACUUAGUAUUUCACCCAUUGUUCAGCUGACACCUUUGCUAGAAGUGUGUGGAAUUAAUUGAUUUAAUUAAACUGUCAUUCUCUUAAUUAUUUUUUAAGAGUAACUUUUCUGGGAGAAGUCUUGAUAUGUACCACCAACUUUGCAUUUAGUGGAGUACAACAAAAUGUUCCCAGUUUGACCCUAAAUAAACAGCACCUCCCUAGUAGCAAUUAUAGAACAAAAUCAAAAGCUAAUAUGAAACAACCUCUGUCUCUGGAUGACACUGUGGAAUAGAGAGGACAUUAAGGAAUAGCUUAAAUUGUUGGGCUUUAUCACCUAGGCACUAAAUUAUGCCUAGCAACUAAAAAAGAAGGAACUUGAUUGAAGCAAGCCUCUACAUACACAUCAUUAUUAUUAAACUGCAUCUUGUGUAACAAAACACUUGGAGGUUGUUACAACUGAAAACAAACAACCCCCCACUUAAAACUUACUAGUAAGGUAGUUUGUCACUAGUUACCACAAGUCAAACUGGACUUUAGUACCUG